UCCGUCUCGCCGCUGCAGAUGUGCAGUCUUUCUGCAGACAGAGCUGCUAUAACGAGGAACAUUUACCAAAAAUUUGAUUGACGUUAUCUAAUGCAAAAGUCUGAAAUUAGAGCACGUUUAAAAACUUCUAUUCGCUACUGUCUUGCGUUGCUUGUUCUCAGAGCUGAAUAUCAUGUCUAUCGUGUCGUCAUAUCUGCGUCAAGACACAAACGCGCUUCCGUGAAGUGUUUCUUAUGACAAGUAACGUUUCGUUUAUGCAAGUAUCGUGAAAGUACGCAGCCCCGCACGUCACUUGUAGGAGAAAAACAUACAAUCCGGCUGCGUAUGAAUGUGAGUUAAAGAAGCCUCAGAAGACCUUCAAGGAUCCAGUUGACCUCUGAAUCAGCUGUUAAGAAAAUGGGACAGUUAUAUUGCUUCAAUUGGUCUCCUACUUCAUUUGAUUCCACCAUCAUUACAAGGCUGCAAGGGAUCUGGAAAAAUGUCAUCCUGUCAAGCUGAAAAACCAUCUUCAAAAAGGCACUAACAAGAACAGCUUGAUUGUAGAGAAGAGUCCACACAGCCAUACACGCUCACUGAUGGGACGAUGAGGAACAUCAUUCAUGGAUGCCACACAACUCAAAUCUACACGUCAUAUUUGUUCAUGUCUAGGUAAAUUUGAUGAUUUUGUGUUUUAUUAACUACUUUGUUUCUGUGCAACACUUAAUGAAUGUGACUGACUAAUUAACCUCUACACAUCUGGUAUAUGCUUUAAAGUUGCCACUUUGC
ensembl:lncRNA